AUUCCAGCUCCAAUAGCGUAUAUUAAUGUUGUUGCAGUUAAAAAGCUCGUAGUUAGAUUUCUGGAUUGAGCGGCUGGCCUUGCGCGCAAGCGUUCGUGUCGGCUUCGUUUCGGUCCAUCCUCAGGGGGACUUGCGCUGGCAUUAACGUGUCGGUGUGGGGACGCCUGUCGUUUACUGUGAACAAAUUAGAGUGUUCAAAGCAAGGUGUACUUGAAUACAUUAGCAUGGAAUAAUAAGAUAGGACUUUGGUGGUUCUUUUUGAUAUUUUGUUGGUUUGCACGCCAAAGUAAUGAUUAAUAGGAGCAGUUGGGGGUAUUCGUAUUCAAUUGUCAGAGGUGAAAUUCUUGGAUUUAUAGAAGACGAACUACUGCGAAAGCAUUUACCAAGGAUGUUUUCAUCG
rnacentral:rRNA from 1 species